UACGGAGGGGGCUAGCGUUGUUCGGAAUUACUGGGCGUAAAGCGCACGUAGGCGGCUUUGUAAGUUAGAGGUGAAAGCCCAGGGCUUAACCCUGGAAUUGCCUUUAAGACUGCAUCGCUAGAAUCGUGGAGAGGUGAGUGGAAUUCCGAGUGUAGAGGUGAAAUUCGUAGAUAUUCGGAAGAACACCAGUGGCGAAGGCGACUCACUGGACACGGUAUUGACGCUGAGGUGCGAAAAGCGUGGGGAGCAAACAGG
rnacentral:rRNA from 1 species